rnacentral:lncRNA from 1 species
UUGAUGUGUGACUCUUCCUCUUUGCUCUUUCUUUCUUUCUAAUUCUAACUACUGCUCUUUCUUCACUGAUAUUUAUUUCCUUCAAGUUAGGGUUUUUAACCCCUUUUUCUCUUUCUCUUUAUUUUUCUUCUUCCCAAUUAUGAACAACUUUACUAUGUAAGCGUUACAUGUAAUCUUUUAACUCUUUAAUGGGUAUAUCUUCUUUUUUUUCUUUUUAUGUAUUUUGUUGAGCAGUUGAAUUUAUGUUUCUUUUUUUUUUUCGAAAGGAUGGCGGGAGUCUGUCUGGAAACAGCCUCUCUACCUCAGGGUAGAGUUAAGUUCUGCUUACAUACUAUCCUCCCCAGACCCCUCUAUGUGAGAUUAUACUGGGUUGUUGUUGUACUUAAUUCAGUUGGCGUUGAAUGGAAAAUCUUGAGCUGUAGGUUUUGAUGAGUGUUUCAGCUUGUUUAUGACUUGGUUUGAGCUUGAAUUUGGGUUAUUUAUUGGUUUUGACUUGCUUUGAUUUUUGGGGUUUCACUUAUCUGAGCUGGGUGUAAUUUGUUUCUUAGAAUCUUGAUUAACUGACUGUUUAAUUCUUACUGAAGUUCAUUACCUGUUCAUGUAAUUGAUCUACAAGAUUUCAUUUUUAAAGUGCUAAUUUCUGAUUUUACUAUUUCUUUGUUGUAAAGAUUGGUUCUUUCUAUGCUGAAAGACUUGAUUUUGAUGUUAGAACUCUUUUUUCUGCUUUAGUUUAGAUUAAGUCAAGGCAUUGUUUAGUGGUACAACCUGUUAGCUGUAAAACCUUCGGACCUCCAUUCAUUUUCGUCUAUUUUGUAUGUCGUUGAGUCGAUACAGUUAACACUGUUUAGCUGGAAAGAGAACUAGUUAGAGUUAAGCACGCCAUUAAGAUACAAUCAUCAAGCUGGGAUUUUAAUCUUCUUAAUUUUUCCUGUUUGAAUUUGGGUUUGAGGG